rnacentral:rRNA from 1 species
UACAGAGGUCCCAAGCGUUGUUCGGAUUCACUGGGCGUAAAGGGCGCGUAGGCGGUUCGCUAAGUUGGAUGUGAAAACUCUGGGCUUAACCCAGAGCCUGCAUCCAAAACUGGCGAACUGGAGUACUGGAGGGGAAAGCGGAAUUCCUGGUGUAGCGGUGAAAUGCGUAGAUAUCAGGAGGAACACCGGUGGCGAAGGCGGCUUUCUGGACAGUAACUGACGCUGAGGCGCGAAAGCUAGGGGAGCAAACAGG